AUUGAACGCUGGCGGCAGGCUUAACACAUGCAAGUCGAACGAGUGGCGGACGGGUGAGUAAUGCUUGGGAAUCUGGCUUAUGGAGGGGGAUAACGACGGGAAACUGUCGCUAAUACCGCGUACCAUAGGAUGAGCCCAGGUGGGAUUAGGUAGUUGGUGGGGUAAUGGCCCACCAAGCCGACGAUCCCUAGCUGGUCUGAGAGGAUGAACGUCAACAACGGGACUUAGACCAGGCCCUGACUCCUACGGUGGGCAGCAGUGGGGAAUAUUGCGCCAUGGGGGCAACCUGACGCAGCCAUGGCGCGGUUAUGAAGAAGGCCUUCGGGUUGGAAAGUGCUUUCGGUGACGAGGCGUUAAUCACAGAAGAAGCACCGGCUAAAUCCGUGCCAGCCGGCGCGGUAAUUC
rnacentral:rRNA from 1 species